rnacentral:rRNA from 1 species
AUUGAACGCUGGCGGCAUGCCUUACACAUGCAAGUCGAACGGCAGCACGGGAGCUUGCUCCUGGUGGCGAGUGGCGAACGGGUGAGUAAUACAUCGGAACGUACCCUGAAGUGGGGGAUAACGUAGCGAAAGUUACGCUAAUACCGCAUAUUCUGUGAGCAUGAAAGAGGGGGAUCGCAAGACCUCUUGCUUUAGGAGCGGCCGAUGUCGGAUUAGCUAGUUGGUGAGGUAAAAGGCUCACCAAGGCGACGAUCCGUAGCGGGUCUGAGAGGAUGAUCCGCCACACUGGGACUGAGACACGGUCCAGACUCCUACGGGAGGCAGCAGUGGGGGAAUUUUGGACAAUGGGCGCAAGCCUGAUCCAGCCAUGCCGCGUGAGUGAAGAAGGCCUC